rnacentral:rRNA from 1 species
ACGAACGCUGGCGGCGUGGAUAAGACAUGCAAGUCGAACGCUGACAUUCCGUAGCAAUAUUUGAGUGUUGGAGUAGCGCAAGGGUGUGUAACCGUGGGCAAUCUGCCGUAAAGUUUGGGAUUAACUCGCUGAAAGGCGAGCUAAUUACCGAUGUGAUCGUGAGAUCAAAGUUGGGGACCGCAAGGCCUGACGCUUUACGAUGAGCCCGCGGCCUAUCAGCUAGUGGGGUGAGGUAACGGCUCACCAAGGCUAAGACGGGUAGGCUGGUCUGAGAGGACGACCAGCCACACUGGAACUGAGACACGGUCCAGACACCUACGGGUGGCAGCAGUCGAGAAUUUUUCUCAAUGGGCGAAAGCCUGAAGGAGCGACGCCGCGUGGGGGAUGAAUGGCUUCGGCCCGUAAACCCCUGUCAUUUGCGAACAAAUUGACUCACUUAACACGUGUGUCAUUGAUUGUAGCGAAAGAGGAAGGGACGGCUAACUCUGUGCCAGCAGCCGCGGUAAUACAGAGGUCCCAAGCGUGUUUCGGAUUUACUGGGCGUAAAGGGUGCGUAGGCGGUUGGGUAAGUCUGACGUGAAAUCUCCGAGCCUAACUCGGAAACUGCGUUGGAUACUAUCCGGCUAGAGGAAUGGAGGGGAGACUGGAAUACUUGGUGUAGCAGUGAAAUGCGUAGAUAUCAAGUGGAACACCAGUGGCGAAGGCGAGUCUCUGGACAUUUCCUGACGCUGAGGCACGAAAGCCAGGGGAGCAAACGGGAUUAGAUACCCCGGGUAGUCCUGGCCCGUAAACGGUAGCACGUUCUGCUGUAAGUGGAUCGACCCCACUUGUGCGUAAGUUAACACGUUAAACGCGCCGCCUGGAAGUACGGCCGCAAGGUUAAAACUCAAAGAAAUUGACGGGGGCUCUGCACAAGCGGUGGAGUAAUGUGCUUAAUUCGAUGCAACGCGAAGAAACCUUACCUGGCCUUGACAUGUCAAAUAGUAGAAGGGUGAAAGCCUGACGGGUAGCAAUACGCAGCUGCACAGGUGCUGCAUGGCGUGUCUCGAGCUCGUGUCGUGAGAUGUUGGGGUGGUUAAGUCCCGCAACGAGCGCAACCCCUGUGUCCUGUUGCCACCCGGCCGAAGUCUGGAGCACUCUGGAACAGACUGCCUCUGCUUCAACGAGGAGGAAGGUGGGGAUGACGUCAAGUCAGUAUGGCCCUUACGAGCCAGGGCUGCACACGUACUACACUGCCCGGCACAAGAGGGAAGCAAGAGCGUAAGAUGGAGCAAAUCCCCUAAAACCGGGCCCAGUUCAGAUUGUCGUCUGCAACUCGACGGCAUGAAGCUGGAAUCGCUAGUAAUGGCGCAUCAGCUACGGCGCCGUGAAUACGUUCCCAGGCCUUGUACACACCGCCCGUCACAUGCAUGAAAGCCGGUUUGUACACCGAAGCUCGCCCCUUAAAAGGUGUCCGAAGGUAUGAGAUGGUGAUAUGAGGAUG